rnacentral:rRNA from 1 species
UUUUUAUGGAGAGUUUGAUCCUGGCUCAGGAUGAACGCUGGCGGCGUGCCUAAUACAUGCAAGUCGAGCGAACAGACGAGGAGCUUGCUCCUCUGACGUUAGCGGCGGACGGGUGAGUAACACGUGGAUAACCUACCUAUAAGACUGGGAUAACUUCGGGAAACCGGAGCUAAUACCGGAUAAUAUAUUGAACCGCAUGGUUCAAUAGUGAAAGACGGUUUUUGCUGUCACUUAUUAGAU